rnacentral:tmRNA from 1 species
GGGGAUGUUUUUGGGAUUCGACAGGCGUAGAUUCGCAUUGACUGCGAUUCGUAGGUUACGUCUACGUAAAAACGUUACAGUUAAAUAUAACUGCAAAUAACAAAAAUUCUUACGCAUUAGCUGCUUAAUUUAGCGCAUGCGUUGCUCUUUGUCGGUUUACUCGUGGCUGACACUGAGUAUCAACUUUAGCGAGUUACGUUUAACUAUCUCACCUGAAUAGUUGAAAAGAGUCUUAACAGGUUAGCUAGCUCAUCCUAGCCCUGUUAUAUGGCGUUUUGAGCUAGUGAAGUUCAAGUAAUAUAACUAUGAUCGUAGAGGUCAGUGACGGAAUGCGUCUGGACAGGGGUUCAACUCCCCUCAUCUCCAU